rnacentral:rRNA from 1 species
UAGGGAAUCUUCCGCAAUGGACGCAAGUCUGACGGAGCAACGCCGCGUGAGUGAAGAAGGAUUUCGGUUCGUAAAACUCUGUUGUUAGAGAAGAACAGCGCAUAGAGUAACUGUUAUGCGUGUGACGGUAUCUAACCAGAAAGCCACGGCUAACUACGUGCCAGCAGCCGCGGUAAUACGUAGGUGGCAAGCGUUGUCCGGAUUUAUUGGGCGUAAAGCGAGCGCAGGCGGUCAAUUAAGUCUGAUGUGAAAGCCCCCGGCUCAACCGGGGAGGGUCAUUGGAAACUGGUUGACUUGAGUGCAGAAGAGGAGAGUGGAAUUCCAUGUGUAGCGGUGAAAUGCGUAGAUAUAUGGCAGAACACCAGUGGCGAAGGCGACUCUCUGGUCUGUAACUGACGCUGAGGCUCGAAAGCGUGGGUAGCAAACAGG